UACGUAGGGUCCGAGCGUUGUCCGGAAUUAUUGGGCGUAAAGAGCUCGUAGGCGGUUUGUCGCGUCUGCUGUGAAAUCCCGAGGCUCAACCUCGGGCCUGCAGUGGGUACGGGCAGACUGGAGUGCGGUAGGGGAGAAUGGAAUUCCUGGUGUAGCGGUGGAAUGCGCAGAUAUCAGGAGGAACACCGAUGGCGAAGGCAGUUCUCUGGGCCGUAACUGACGCUGAGGAGCGAAAGCGUGGGGAGCGAACAGGAUUAGAAACCCCCGUAGUCC
rnacentral:rRNA from 1 species